GCCCUGGGCUUGUGCUCAGGGAGUGAAUGAUGGGUUCUGACCCCCAUGCACCCCUGGCAUCACUGGCCCCAUCCUUCACCCCCUGCCAACCACACUUGCCCUGUGCCU
ensembl:miRNA